rnacentral:rRNA from 1 species
CAAUAGCGUAUAUUAAAGUUGUUGCGGUUAAAAAGCUCGUGGUUGGAUUUCUGCCGAGGACGACCGGUCCGCCCUCUGGGUGUGUAUCUGGUUUGGCCUGGGCAUCUUCUUGGAGAACGUAGCUGCACUUGACUGUGUGGUGCGGUGUCCAGGACUUUUACUUUGAGGAAAUUAGAGUGUUUCAAGCAGGCACACGCCUUGAAUACAUUAGCAUGGAAUAAUAAGAUAGGACCUCGGUUCUAUUUUGUUGGUUUCUAGAGCUGAGGUAAUGAUUAAUAGGGAUAGUUGGGGGCAUUCGUAUUUAACUGUCACAGGUGAAAUUCUUGGAUUUGUUAAAGACGGACUACUGCGAAAGCAUUUGCCAAGGAUGUUUUCAUUGA